rnacentral:rRNA from 1 species
GACGAACGCUGGCGGCAGGCUUAACACAUGCAAGUCGAGCGGAUGAGUGGAGCUUGCUCCAUGAUUCAGCGGCGGACGGGUGAGUAAUGCCUAGGAAUCUGCCUGGUAGUGGGGGACAACGUUUCGAAAGGAACGCUAAUACCGCAUACGUCCUACGGGAGAAAGUGGGGGAUCUUCGGACCUCACGCUAUCAGAUGAGCCUAGGUCGGAUUAGCUAGUUGGUGAGGUAAAGGCUCACCAAGGCGACGAUCCGUAACUGGUCUGAGAGGAUGAUCAGUCACACUGGAACUGAGACACGGUCCAGACUCCUACGGGAGGCAGCAGUGGGGAAUAUUGGACAAUGGGCGAAAGCCUGAUCCAGCCAUGCCGCGUGUGUGAAGAAGGUCUUCGGAUUGUAAAGCACUUUAAGUUGGGAGGAAGGGCAGUAAGUUAAUACCUUGCUGUUUUGACGUUACCAACAGAAUAAGCACCGGCUAACUUCGUGCCAGCCGCCGCGGUAA